GGAUAGAGGCCUACCAUGGUGGUAACGGGUAACGGGGUGUUAGGGCACGACACCGGAGAGGGAGCCUGAGAAACGGCUACCACAUCCAAGGAUGGCAGCAGGCGCGCAAAUUACCCAAUCCCGACACGGGGAGGUAGUGACAAUAAAUAACAAUACGGGGUUCUUUCGGAUCUCGUAAUUGGAAUGAGUACAAUUUAAAUCUCUUAACGAGGAACAAUUGGAGGGCAAGUCUGGUGCCAGCAGCCGCGGUAAUUCCAGCUCCAAUAGCGUAUAUUAAGUUGUUGCAGUUAAAAAGCUCGUAGUUGAAUUUCGGGGUUAGUAGGUUGGUCAUGCCUCUGGUAUGUACUGGUCUCACUGAUUCCUCCUUCCUUAUGAACCGUAAUGCCAUUAAUUUGGUGUUGCGGGGAAUUUGGACUGUUACUUUGAAAAAAUUAGAGUGUUUAAAGCAAGCUAACGCUUGAAUACAUUAGCAUGGAAUAAUGAAAUAGGACGUUCGAUCUUAUUUUGUUGGUUUCUAGGAUUGACGUAAUGAUUAAUAGGGAUAGUUGGGGGCAUUAGUAUUCAAUUGUCAGAGGUGAAAUUCUUGGAUUUAUUGAAGACUAACUACUGCGAAAGCAUUUGCCAAGGAUGUUUUCAUUAAUCAAGAACGAAAGUUAGGGGAUCGAAGACGAUCAGAUACCGUCGUAGUCUUAACCAUAAACUAUGCCGACUA
rnacentral:rRNA from 1 species